GACGUGGCGCCAGCCUUGAGGAGUCUGAUUGGAGAAAAGCGGCGCUGCGCCUCUCGCCGGACUCACUCGUCUCGAGGAGAAACGGUGGAGUCAGGAGACCGGGCGACCGGAGCUAUGGGUGGGCUCCACUGGGUGAAUGUCGCCGCAGCUCUCCCUCUGUCCCGACCCGGUUUUCUUUUUCUCCCCAAGUUUUAUAACUUAGCAGGAGCUGAUUCACACCCGGACAGAAUAUUGGAGAGUUUCAGGCGCCCUUAGUUGAGCUCGCCGUGUGCCAGCCGGGCGCCGUUCCAAUCGCUUUCUGCGGAUUAACUCAUUUACUCCUCAAAACAACCCGAGGAGGUCUGGAAGUCCACGACUGUCACCCCGCUAGGGGAAUAUAAGUCUAACCUCGAGCCACUGCAGGAAGGAUGGAACCGGGAAUCCUGGUGUUAGCGCCACUCUAACCAACCGGGCUGAGCCGCCAGUGCUUUGAAUUUUUAUAUGCACAGCAGUGUGUAUUUGAAAGUGAUGCAUUUUUGUAUAUUUCUUGGCAUUAGUUUUAAAGUAUAAACGUUCAAUCACAGCACUAGGACCAAACAAAGACAGGCCACCAACUCUGCGGGGAGGAUAGGACACAAUGCAUUAUAGUGCCAUUACUUUACAGAGGAAGACAUUGAAUCAUGGAGGAAUGCCCUCAUUUAAGGUGUCGUCGCCACUAGGAAGUUUUGGAUCUGGGUUGCUGCAUUGUUGACCAUAGGGGGAGAAGAAUGAAGAUAUUUAGGAAAAGAAAUUUAGUACUACCAAAUGGCUCCUCAUCUAGUGUGAUUUUAACAUAGGGGCCAGCAUUUUCUUAAUAAAUGAACCUCUAACUGCUGAAAUAAAAAACUGAUUCUCUUACA